CCUUCGAUAGCUCAGUUGGUAGAGCGGUGGACUGUAGAAAAGUUUUGGGAGACAACCGGGUCAGAAUGCAAUUUUGAAAAGCUCUUCUGUGACUGUCUCUUCAAACAAUAGAAAUCCAUAGGUCACUGGUUCAAAUCCGGUUCGAAGGA
rnacentral:tRNA from 1 species